rnacentral:tRNA from 1 species
GCCAGUAUGGCUUAGUUGGUUAAGUGUUGGGCUGUGCACCAAACAUCAUGGGUUCAAUUCCCAGGUUGCAGGC